AGUUGGUUUGUCAACCGCCAUUAAACACAGAAAAAGAAGAAGAACGACGAGCAGCGACCUUGACAUCGGGGUUACUGAGGAGAUCGGUCCGAAAAAAAACAUCUACUUUAUAUGACCGAAAAUCGCGAGUUAUACAUUAUAUUUUCUUUGUAAGGGUCUGUUGUACGGUUAAGUGUCUUUAAUGACGUAAACUUUGUGUAAACUACUUGUUUAUUGAGACUGUUCACGGGUUUAAAACCUUCAGGCCCGUGUGAGAGACAGACACUUUCGGCUUGCAUUACGUUUACCGUUAGUUGCCGCAUUAUACAGCGAUAUCGAUCUUGCUAUUGAGCUCUAGUUAGACUAUUAGUGCUCAUUAUUCGCCUUGAGACACGAACUAGGAAUCGGAAAGACAGCGAGGGACGGACGGUUAGCGUACCUCCAACCACCGGGAGUGUUUUGGGCAAGUUACCUUUAUCCUCAUGGGACGGCCGGCUGUUCGUGAAAGAUCGUGUUUACCGUGCACAGAAGAAGAUCGUGUGAGUGCGUAAAGAACACAGGCCGCUACGCCAGGUGCAACGACUCAACUUAACUGCAUUGGGACUACCAGUGCUUCUGGUUAAAGAGUAAAUAUGUUGUGAUUUUAUGGCUGGAACGAUAUAUCGUGUAUAUGAAGUUUCUCAAUGAAUUACGGUUAAAUGCCACCACACCCGAAAGCCAGAGGGCGCCCUCGCGAAGAAACUCCGAAUAUGGGACACAGAAGGAGAACGCAAGUUCAACUACAAACGGUCAGAUGGUCUUGUCUGCUGUGAUUGGUCUACCGUGUGCAGUGUUGCAAAUGGAACGUAGGCGGGCACUACAUGGAGUAACGUCAAUCUGACCCUGAACUAAAAUUAGUACAACAGAGGACUAGUUGGCCAAGUCAAUAUCUCGUGCGCUCCAACAACAAGCGAUUGGUUUAUUACCCGCAGAAUAACCUUGGUUGUGCCAUGCAGGCCCACGCUUGAACGCACCAACGGAAAUGUAUGCCAAUAAGUUCUGUUUUAAUGUGAAAUCUUUUAAAUAAA